rnacentral:rRNA from 1 species
GACGAACGCUGGCGGCGUGCUUAACACAUGCAAGUCGAACGGAAAGGCCCUGCUUUUGUGGGGUGCUCGAGUGGCGAACGGGUGAGUAACACGUGAGUAACCUGCCCUUGACUUUGGGAUAACUUCAGGAAACUGGGGCUAAUACCGGCUAGGAGCUCCUGCUGCAUGGUGGGGGUUGGAAAGUUUCGGCGGUUGGGGAUGGACUCGCGGCUUAUCAGCUUGUUGGUGGGGUAGUGGCUUACCAAGGCUUUGACGGGUAGCCGGCCUGAGAGGGUGACCGGCCACAUUGGGACUGAGAUACGGCCCAGACGCCUACGGGAGGCAGAAGUGGGGAAUAUUGCACAAUGGGCGGAAGCCUGAUGCAGCAACGCCGCGUGCGGGAUGACGGCCUUCGGGUUGUAAACCGCUUUCGCCUGUGACGAAGCGUGAGUGACGGUAAUGGGUAAAGAAGCACCGGCUAACUACGUG